AACGAACGCUGGCGGCAGGCCUAACACAUGCAAGUCGAGCGCCCCGCAAGGGGAGCGGCGGACGGGUGAGUAACGCGUGGGAAUAUGCCCUUUGCUACGGAAUAGUCUCGGGAAACUGGGGGUAAUACCGUAUACGCCCUUUGGGGGAAAGAUUUAUCGGCGAAGGAUUAGCCCGCGUUGGAUUAGGUAGUUGGUGGGGUAAUGGCCUACCAAGCCGACGAUCCAUAGCUGGUUUGAGAGGAUGAUCAGCCACACUGGGACUGAGACACGGCCCAGACUCCUACGGGAGGCAGCAGUGGGGAAUCUUAGACAAUGGGGGCAACCCUGAUCUAGCCAUACCGCGUGAGUGAUGAAGGCCUUAGGGUUGUAAAGCUCUUUCAGCUGGGAAGAUAAUGACGGUACCAGCAGAAGAAGCCCCGGCUAACUCCGUG
rnacentral:rRNA from 1 species